rnacentral:rRNA from 1 species
UUGAUCCUGCCAGUAGUCAUAUGCUUGUCUCAAAGAUUAAGCCAUGCAUGUCUCAGUACAAGCCACAUUAAGGUGAAACCGCGAAAGGCUCAUUAAAUCAGUUAUGGUUCCUUAGAUCGUACCCACAUUUACUUGGAUAACUGUGGUAAUUCUAGAGCUAAUACAUGCAAACAGAGUUCCGACCGGAGACGGGAGGAAUGCUUUUAUUAGAUCAAAACCAAUCGGCGGCGGGUGCGUUCGCGCAUCCGUUCGCCGCUCAACCUGGUGACUCUGAAUAACUUUCGGCUGAUCGCACGGUCCAGCACCGGCGACGCAUCUUUCAAAUGUCUGCCUUAUCAACUGUCGAUGGUAGGUUCUGCGCCUACCAUGGUCGUAACGGGUAACGGGGAAUCAGGGUUCGAUUCCGGAGAGGGA